GUUGUUGGUUGCCAUGGUGAUGUCUGCCGUGGGCACUACCCCUGGUUCUUGUGGGGAAGGAGCUACCCCUCCCCACCAGGCUGGGGGGGUACUUGGGGGACUUGACUAGGGGGUCCUUUCAGGCUGAGUGUGUGUGGUCUCUGAUGCCCCAGAUUCCCCAGGACCCCCCAGACUUCUGUCUGUGGGGAGGAGUCACUGCCACCUACUCAGACUGAGUGCUGGGGAGACUGUGACCGCAUCUGGCUGUGCCUGACCGUGGCUGUGACUUUCAUCACAGGACAUGGCCCCCUCAGCCACCUAGCUGGGGCCCAUCUAGGAGUGGCAUCUUUUUUGGUGCCCUGAAGGCCAGCUCUGGACCUUCCCAGGAAAAGUGCCAGCUCACAGAACUGCUUGACCAAAGGACCGGCUCUUGAGACAUCCCCCAACCCACCUGGCCCCCAGCUAGGGUGGGGGCUCCAGGAGACUGAGAUUAGCCUGCCCUCUUUGGACAGCAGCUCCAGGACAGGGCGGGUGGGCUGACCACCCAAACCCCAUCUGGGCCCAGGCCCCAUGCCCCGAGGAGGGGUGGUCUGAAGCCCACC
rnacentral:lncRNA from 1 species